GAUGAACGCUGGCGGCGUGCCUAAUACAUGCAAGUCGAGCGAACAGGCGAGGAGCUUGCUCCUCUGACGUUAGCGGCGGACGGGUGAGUAACACGUGGAUAACCUACCUAUAAGACUGGGAUAACUUCGGGAAACCGGAGCUAAUACCGGCUAAUAUAUUGAACCGCAUGGUUCAAUAGUGAAAGACGGUUUUGCUGUCACUUAUAGAUGGAUCCGCGCCGCAUUAGCUAGUUGGUAAGGUAACGGCUUACCAAGGCAACGAUGCGUAGCCGACCUGAGAGGGGGACAGGCGACAAGGGGACUGAGACAAGGACCAGACUCGUACGGGAGGAAGAAGCAGGGAAAGGUAGGCAAGGGGCGAGAGUCUGAAAGAGCAAUGCGGAGGGAGAGAAAAAUGUGUGCGGAUCGUAAAACUCUGUAGUGAGAGAAGAACAAAGACGCUAGGAAAUGAAAGAACCAGGACGGUAUCUAAUAAGAAAGCGACGGCUAACUACGUU
rnacentral:rRNA from 1 species